GCUCCCGUAGCUCAGUUGGAUAGAGCAGCGGUUUCCUAAACCGCGUGUCGCAGGUUCAACUCCUGCCGGGGGCGCCA
rnacentral:tRNA from 1 species